GUCCGUGCUGCUGAGUCUACUAAAAAACGGAGCUGUACAGCAAAGAUUACCAUGGCCCCUGAGCAAGGGUGACACGCAGAUUCAUGAGAUGUUCUAAAAAGAA
ensembl:snRNA U6 U6 spliceosomal RNA